GGCUAUAGCUCAGUUGGUAGAGCCCUGGAUUGUGAUUCCAGUUGUUGGUAGCGCAACUGGUUUGGGACCAGUGGGUCGGAGGUUCGAAUCCUCUCUCGCCG
rnacentral:tRNA from 1 species